CCUACGGGAGGCAGCAGUGAGGAAUAUUGGUCAAUGGACGCAAGUCUGAACCAGCCAUGCCGCGUGCAGGAUGACGGCUCUAUGAGUUGUAAACUGCUUUUGUAAGGGGGUAAUAACAGAUACGUGUCUCUGCUUGAAAGUAUCGUAAGAAUAAGGAUCGGCUAACUCCGUGCCAGCAGCCGCGGUAAUACGGAGGAUCCGAGCGUUAUCCGGAUUUAUUGGGUUUAAAGGGUGCGUAGGCGGUUUUAUAAGUUAGAGGUUAAAAGUCGGGGCUCAACUCCGGACGUGCCUCUAAUACUGGAUGACUAGAGAAUAGAUGCGGUAGGCGGAAUGUAUGGUGUAGCGGUGAAAUGCGUAGAGAUCAUACAGAACACCGAUUGCGAAGGCAGCUUACCAAA
rnacentral:rRNA from 1 species